rnacentral:rRNA from 1 species
UUUUUAGACCUCCCUGGAGGAGCUUGCCAUCUAACCGAUAACCCACGAAAAACCUCACCAGCUUUUGAAAACCCAACAUGUAUACCAUCGUCGUCAGUCUACAUCUUAAGAGAAGUACACUCAAUGAGAACCCUCACUACGUCAGAUCGAGGUGCAGUUUAUAAGCUGGGGAUAAGUGAGCUACAAUACUUCCACAACCCCUUAAAAUCCAACUAUGAACAAUCUAAUGAAAACUUAAAUUUGAAAAAGGAUUCAGCAGUAAUAUCCAAAAGAAAAUGGAUAUGAAAAUAUCUAGCUCUAAAAUGCGC